rnacentral:rRNA from 1 species
AGUCGAGCGAACGGACGAGAAGCUUGCUUCUCUGAUGUUAGCGGCGGACGGGUGAGUAACACGUGGAUAACCUACCUAUAAGACUGGGAUAACUUCGGGAAACCGGAGCUAAUACCGGAUAAUAUUUUGAACCGCAUGGUUCAAAAGUGAAAGACGGUCUUGCUGUCACUUAUAGAUGGAUCCGCGCUGCAUUAGCUAGUUGGUAAGGUAACGGCUUACCAAGGCAACGAUGCAUAGCCGACCUGAGAGGGUGAUCGGCCACACUGGAACUGAGACACGGUCCAGACUCCUACGGGAGGCAGCAGUAGGGAAUCUUCCGCAAUGGGCGAAAGCCUGACGGAGCAACGCCGCGUGAGUGAUGAAGGUCUUCGGAUCGUAAAACUCUGUUAUUAGGGAAGAACAUAUGUGUAAGUAACUGUGCACAUCUUGACGGUACCUAAUCAGAAAGCCACGGCUAACUACGUGCCAGCAGCCGCGGUAAUACGUAGGUGGCAAGCGUUAUCCGGAAUUAUUGGGCGUAAAGCGCGCGUAGGCGGUUUUUUAAGUCUGAUGUGAAAGCCCACGGCUCAACCGUGGAGGGUCAUUGGAAACUGGAAAACUUGAGUGCAGAAGAGGAAAGUGGAAUUCCAUGUGUAGCGGUGAAAUGCGCAGAGAUAUGGAGGAACACCAGUGGCGAAGGCGACUUUCUGGUCUGUAACUGACGCUGAUGUGCGAAAGCGUGGGGAUCAAACA